GUGCUGUAUGAAAGGAGAGAAGGUUAGCACUCCCUUGACAAUGGAAGAGGCCCUUGGGCCUGACAACAUACAUACAGUUAAGAAAUUGCCACCAACUUCGUGGCAUCUAACCAUCAUUUUAC